AAAAUUUCUAGAUUAACAAACAGUUUUUGCCAAUGUUGACACCUCUUGCACAGCUCCAAGGAUCUUGGUCCAUAUAAUCUUCACAUCAUGCUUUCUGUAAUCCUGAAAACUAAUGCAAUUUCUUAGGUUUCAAGUACAGCAGACAGCAGCUGUGUAGCACAACUGUCGCGUCAUUGACUUAAAAUCCUGAUCUGAAUUCAGAAAUGAACUUCCAAAUUUGUCCAUAUACCACACAAUAAAAAAACAAAUACUAGAUGGUUUUGGAUUCAGCACGAAAGAUACAAUUCUUGACAUCCACAUUUUGAUGUUUCUGAAAUUCUCAUCCAAAAGCAAGCAAAAGUAUUCAUUUCCUUAGUUUCAUAAUUGUCAUUGUUGUUUUGUGCUGGUUCCAAACAUAAGCAACGACAACAAAGUUCCAAUCUUUCAAUCGCUCAUAGUUGAAUUCAGAACAGAUGUAUUAACAGUGAUACAUCUGGACCUGUUUUUGUGAAUAGAAGUAUACCACUCUGAUUUCUGAAAUAAAGUGUUCCCUUCUUGGUUUAGAUAUCGAUGAAUGCCAGAAUAUCGACGAUAACAAUUGCAGCAUUCAGAAUUUCUGCAACAACACUGAAGGAGGUUUUACUUGCUCCUGUCCCCAGAACAUGGUUGGUGACGGUUACAUGACAGGAACAAACUGCACUGUGGCACUUAUGCCAUCUGGUAAUGCCCUAUAUAUGUCUUAAAGAAAUUCACAGUUUACCAUAGUAAUGCCUUGCUUUAUUAAAGAAAAUGACUCAGGACAUACACGGCUACGAUAAAAGUACUUAACAAUUUGUACAGUAUCAAAAGCUAUAAAUGAACUUAUAUGUACUUAUGCUAGAAGUACUUCAGGUUCUCAAGUGCUGCUGUAGGAGCCUUUUUAUGCUACCCUGUACUGUUUGGAGGAGAGGGAGCAGUAUAUAGAUAUCCAUCGUUGGUUUCUAAAGGGUAGGAUAGGCAUUUCCUAUUAAGAUAAUUAAUUAGCAGGAAAUGUUAAUAUUUUUAGUUCCUAAAGACGUCCGUAUGCAACAAUUACAAGGUAUGGUAAACAUAGUAUUUGCUCACCAGUCAGCACGAGGAGUAAACUAUUAGUUCUACUGAUGAUCUAUGGCUAUCUAUUAGGUCCUCCAGGCAUUCAUCACAAAAAAAAGGGUUCUCCAGGCAUGACUAGCGACGGCCAGAAAAAGGGCAACGGCUGGCAAAAUCACUCUCCUACAAAUACUUCUUGGGUUAACUUACUCAACAGAUGACAUGCCACAUUAGAUCAUCAUCUUUUGUUUUUAUUUAAUUCUUUUGUUCCUGCAAUUCUCAGGCAAAAAAGUUCUACAAUGCUGGUCUACUGAUCUAGUAUAGAGUGUAUAGAUGUACACCAAUUCAUAAGAGAGGUCAGCAACUGGGCCAAUUUUUUUUGAACAAUACACGCAAAAAAAGAAAAUUUGGACGGGAGGGGGGGUGGGGGCAAACAUGCAGAUGUUCGAACACUAUGUGCAUCCGCCAAUAUUCCGUGCUAAAAGUAUACAAUUGUGAGACCUAAUUUUUUUGUGUGUGUACAUAUCUAGUUAUUUACCUUUUUGUGGUCCUCAUCCCUCUCUUUGUUCUGCAGAUCAAAAACAUAUCUUGUGACUAAAUUUGCAUGUGCAAGAGUACUCACACGUCUAUAUGUGUCAACCCCCCCCCCCCCCCCCCCCCCCCCCUUUUACAAGUAUACACAAUAUGUUAUGAUUUAUGGCUAAGAGAAGGAUACCUAGACUGAAAACAUCUUCACUAAUGUUACAGAUAAUUCAUAGCCUAUGGUUGUCCUUAAGAUAGCAUCAGUACUGCAUUUGCAUGUGAGCAGUUCAGAAGUAAUACGGUACCUAGCUAGGGUUGUUUUGGCGGCAGUGGCCCAAACGAUACCACUAGGGAUAAGGUAGUGUUUUCUUAUUCUUUUAUUAUAUGAAUUUGAAUUGGUUCUUAAUUGAUGGGAUUUAGAAUAAAAAACUACAAAGCUAAAAUGUCAGAAAUCAUGGUAUCCAAAGAAAGGAAAGGUCCCUAAGGGGCAUUAUGUUUUUUCCGAUCAAAGAUUGAAGAAGGGAAUCCACGAAGGAAUAUCAAGACUUCCUAAUUAUCAUACAUUUCUUUAUCGUACAUCUUAUGGUCCCUAUAUACACUACAGUAUUCCUUACACUGUUACUUCCACAUGAGUUAGAUGAACAAGGGAGACUUACACAAGUACUGAUACAUAUUUUUAUCCAAAAUUUGCAGGUGUAGGUCUUGCACUUGUGGUUACAGUAACCACCGCAGCUCUCUGCUACUACUGGGGCAUGAAGAGAAGACAGGUGAGAAGAAAGAGAGCUGAGUUAUUCAGGAAGAAUGGAGGUUUGCUGCUGCAACAAAGACUUUCGGCAACCACUUCUCAAGGUAAGGGCUCCUCAGCAAAGAUAUUCAGCGCACAAGAGCUCAAGAUUGCCACUAACAGUUAUAGUGAGAGUCAAAUUCUUGGCCGAGGUGGAUAUGGUACAGUGUAUAAAGGUGUUCUUCCAGAUGAGACUGUGGUUACCGUAAAGAAGUCUAGGGUUUUUGAUGAGAGCCAGAUGGAGCAAUUUGUCAAUGAGAUUACCAUCUUAUACAGACCGAUCAUGCAAAUGUUGUCAAGCUUUUGGGAUGAUGUCUAGAGACAGAAGUUCCAUUGUUGGUAUAUGAGUUCAUACCCAAUGGAACACUCUUUCAGCACAUCCACAACAGAAAUGCACCGCGCUCCUUAACCUGGGAAGAUACCUUAAGGAUAGCUGCAGAAAUAGCAGAAGCGCUUGCCUACCUGCACUCCACGUCUUCUAUACCAAUCAUUCAUAGGGACAUCAAAUCAAGCAACAUACUGUUGGACGAGAACUUUGUGGCUAAAAUAUCAGACUUUGGUGCAUCGAGAUCAGUUCCAUUUGAUCAAACGCAUGUAACAACACUUAUUCAAGGAACCAUAGGGUACCUCGAUCCUGAAUAUUUCCAAAGCAGUAUGCUAACAGAGAAGAGUGACGUCUACAGUUUUGGAGUAGUUCUUGCAGAGCUAUUGACAAGGCAGAAGCCUAUCUCCGUAGGCAGGCCAGAGGAAUCGUGCAACUUAGCCAUGCAUAUAGCGAUUCUAUUUAGUGAAGGGCGCCUAGUUCAGGAGAUAGAGCCAAAUAUUGUGGCAGAAGCAGGUGAAGAGCAACUGUAUGCGGUUGCACAGCUCUCUCUGAGAUGCUUAAAUUUGAGUGGACAACAACGACCAGUCAUGAAGGAGGUGGCUUCAGUUUUAAACGAGCUUAGACGGUCAUUUGCCAAGGAACAAACUAUGAGAACAAAAGAUGAACCUGUACAAAAAAAUAAUGAGCUCGUACAUGAGGCAAGACCAAUUUCCAGCCUGCACUGUUCAGAAGGAAGUACACAGUUCAGCAUAGAAGCUGAAAUGAUAGCUUAUCAUUCGCCAAGAUGAUGUACUUCUCGGAAAUAUUCUAAUGUAAGUUGACAUCUCAGAGACAAUGUGCAAUAUAUUUAUGGAGACAUUAUCUGAAAUAGCUCAGAGUAAUCACUAUUUGGGUCAACACUCAACAAUCACCAUGGUAUUGAUUUCCCAACUUUGCGGCCAGAUCCAAAUGUAACUUCUAAUUUAAAAUAUUUCAAUGGUAUCGCAUGUGUCCCUUGAAUUUUAUCUAAAUCAAGCCUUUGAAAACAACCAUCAUCUGCCCGGAACCUAAGCAAAACCAUGGGAGUGCAGAGUGCCUAAAAAAAUUAGUCACACAUGCCUAAUUAGCCCCUCAGGAUUAUGUUGUCAAUGUGCAGUUUGUCCAUGGUUCCAAGGAAAGUAUGUUGAUUUGAACUUACUGCAUUGGCUUCGGUCAUUCCAAGUACACUUGAGGUCGAGCUUAACGGUGGUCAUUAUAUACAAAACCAGUUACUGAUCUGUAGUGCAUUAUACCCGUUUAUACAUAUGUUGGUGAUCACCACAUAUACAGGUUAAUGCUCGUGGCUUCAUCAUGAGCAUGAUUUUACCACCUCAAAGCAGAGUCCACCUGAAUCUUGAAUGCAAAUAUGCAGACAACGAAUUAUACAUUUAUUUUAGUUAAGUAGUGGGAUCCACCUAGUUUGAUCAAUAUCUGAACACAUCGUUUUUCAACACAAGGGGCUCAUCUCCAAUCUCUGUCGACGAAUGCACACAGUCAGAAAUCCCUAAACUGUUCUAAGAAUUCAGUACAAACCAGAACCAAAACCUAAGAGCAUGACAAAAUGGCAACGAAGUACCCAUGGAUUGCCUCUACCGAAAUAGAUAUGGUGGAGUUAUUUGAAUCGGGCUUAAACCAAGUACGAGUAGUGUCCCCGCCGUUCAGCCAAUGAGAAAGGCAAUAACACAAACAGAACUGCAGAAGAAAGCCAGUAGCAGAUUCAAAAUAUACAUACAAAAGAUCUAGGGUUUUAGUCUUACCUCGCCGCCGUGCAGUCAGGCACGGGAACUCCAACGCGGCUCCGACCUGGCUUCCCCGCGCAUCUUCCAUAUCCUUCCGGCCGCAUGGUCCCGUGAUUCGGGGGGUUGCAUUUGCAUCUCUAGGCCCGCGAGGGCGUGAUGCACUGACCUCAUGAGCUUCACAAUUGUGGCUGUGGUCGGGGUCAAAGCCUGAGGCCACCGGCUAGACGCUUCCUCGUUGGCUCCGACGGUGCCGAUCUGGCGGCGGUGGUGGCGUGGGCAGCAUUGCGGCUGCCGGGAAGGUGCCGCGGCACGCAACGCAACGGGAAGAGCAGUCUUUCGGGCUGAAAUGGGUACUGGGAAGAGAAGCCCAAGCAGGUCAUUUACUGACACGUUGAGAAUUUGAGAUUAGGCCCGUCACGGAUCUGAUGGCCAGAGGUGGGAAAGGGUUUGUCUGUUCCAAGCUGCGACAAAUUGCACAAAACAC
rnacentral:lncRNA from 1 species